ensembl:lncRNA LINC00911 long intergenic non-protein coding RNA 911
CAGGGGGAGGUAAGCUCAUAUAACCUUGUUCCUUACGGAGGUGUAGAAAAUCUGUAGCAUGAUGUAAUGGAAUUAAGAAUGGGUCAAUGAAAUAUACAGCUCCUUUCUGGAAUGUACCUGUUCUGCUACAACCAUGGAUAUCCUGACCUUUCUGUGCCUUUCAGGGACAAGGGUAAUAGAGGAGUUUCAGACUCCCUCUAAAACAAAACAACAACUGAACAAUAAACAACAGAAAAAGAACACAAAAAAAGACGGUGGUACUCUUUCCCCUUUCCUUGCUUUCUCCUGCUACCAAAACAAACAACAAAAACUACAUUGUCUCAUUGGAUGACGAAGCUAAAAUUUUGUAGCAAAUCUAUAGAAGAAAAGAAGUGGAAAUCUACUCAAGAGCUACUGUAAAACACUGUAUACAAAACAACCACUUUGAUUCACAUUAAAAAGUGUUAUCUGUUUCUUUGAAUUCAUAAGCUAGAUAUUAAUCCAUCUUUAGAAGAGAAGAAAGCAAAGAUCGUAGAUGACAAGUCUUGCUUUCUUGUAAGUAUCUUUGAAUCUGUAUGUUUGCCAUCACAAGUUCUCAGAUCAAUUAACUAUUGUUUACUUCCAAAAAAAAUCUGGCAUGGCUUAUGAAGAUGUAUAUAUAUAACAACAUCAGUAUGAAUGGGAUAAUACAACAAGACCAAGGGAAACUAAACUUGUGUAAUUAUUGAAGGUAGUAAGCAUCUAACAGACAUUUUGUCUGUUGUAGUUUAGAUUUAAAUUUGCCACUGAAAUCAGCCUCUUCUUGGGGAUUUCCUGCUUGUACUGAUGAGCCAAUACCCCUCCCUUUAUACUCAUUUUCACAGAAAUUCUUUGCUAAUUCAUUGCCUAGCUCGCUCUGUAACAUUCAUAACCAUCUUCAACACCACCUCCAGACUGACUGCAGUUUGACAUAAAAAA